rnacentral:rRNA from 1 species
GAUGAACGCUGGCGGCGUGCCUAAUACAUGCAAGUCGAGCGAACGGACGAGAAGCUUGCUUCUCUGAUGUUAGCGGCGGACGGGUGAGUAACACGUGGAUAACCUACCUAUAAGACUGGGAUAACUUCGGGAAACCGGAGCUAAUACCGGAUAAUAUUUUGAACCGCAUGGUUCAAAAGUGAAAGACGGUCUUGCUGUCACUUAUAGAUGGAUCCGCGCUGCAUUAGCUAGUUGGUAAGGUAACGGCUUACCAAGGCAACGACGCAUAGCCGACCGGAGAGGGUGAUCGGCCACACUGGAACUGAGACACGGUCCAGACUCCUACGGGAGGCAGCAGUAGGGAAUCUUCCGCAAUGGGCGAAAGCCUGACGGAGCAACGCCGCGUGAGUGAUGAAGGUCUUCGGAUCGUAAAACUCUGUUAUUAGGGAAGAACAUAUGUGUAAGUAACUGUGCACAUCUUGACGGUACCUAAUCAGAAAGCCACGGCUAACUACGUG